rnacentral:tRNA from 1 species
CAGGAAGUAGUUUAAGAAAAAUUUUAGUUUUGGAGGCUAAAGAUAGGAGAUUUCCUCUUCUUGA